rnacentral:rRNA from 1 species
CGCGCAGGCGGGAAUUUAAGUCAGGAGUGAAAACUGAGGGCUCAACCCUCAGCCUGCUUCUGAAACUGAAUUUCUUGAGGGUAUGAGAGGAAAGCGGAAUUCCUAGUGUAGCGGUGAAAUGCGUAGAUAUUAGGAGGAACACCAGUGGCGAAGGCGGCUUUCUGGCAUACAACUGACGCUGAGGCGCGAAAGCGUGGGGAGCAAACGGGAUUAGAUACCCCGGUAGUCCACGCCGUAAACGAUGAGCACUAGGUGUAGGAGGUAUCGACCCCUUCUGUGCCGUAGUUAACACAAUAAGUGCUCCGCCUGGGGAGUACGGCCGCAAGGUUGAA